rnacentral:rRNA from 1 species
CCUACGGGAGGCAGCAGUAAGGAAUAUUGGUCAAUGGACGGAAGUCUGAACCAGCCAUGCCGCGUGCAGGAUGACGGCCCUCUGGGUUGUAAACUGCUUUUAUAGGGGACGAAAAAAGGGGAUUCUUCCUCACUUGACGGUACCCUAGGAAUAAGCACCGGCUAACUCCGUGCCAGCAGCCGCGGUAAUACGGAGGGUGCAAGCGUUAUCCGGAUUUACUGGGUUUAAAGGGUGCGUAGGUGGGUCGGUAAGUCAGCGGUGAAAUCUUCGAGCUUAACUCGGAAACUGCCAUUGAUACUAUCGAUCUUGAAUCGUCUAGAGGUAAGCGGAAUAUGUCAUGUAGCGGUGAAAUGCUUAGAUAUGACAUAGAACACCAAUUGCGAAGGCAGCUUACUAUGGAUGUAUUGACACUGAGGCACGAAAGCGUGGGGAUCAAACAGGAUUAGAUACCCUGGUAGUCCACGCCCUAAACGAUGGAUACUCGACAUUUGAGAUAUACUUUAAAGUGUUNUGUAGAGAAGACGAUAGUAGUACCACCGUACGGAGGUACGAGUGUCGAGAGUUAGUAAGUUACGAAAGAAGUUAGAGGCGUGAGACGNGCGACGGACGACGACGAGGGAGGAGGAG